GAGCUUGAGAAGGAAUCAGAUUCUGCAUAUAUUUCCAAGUUAACAUGAACAAGAUUUUCUGAAAGACUGCUAUGGAGUCUGAGAAAAAAGUGUCAAAGGUAGUGCCAAAAUUGUCACUUAAAGAACUGCAGGAAUGGAGUUGGCAUUUACAGAAUUUAGAAGAGAAGCAGGUUUAGUGAUAAAGACCAGAAGCACAGAGCUAAGCAUAUUAAAUAUUGAGGACAUGAGGAGGAAAGAACUGACAGAGGAGAUGAAGAAAGGUGAUCAGGAAGAGCCAUCAAAGUGUUAUCCUGGAAUUCAAGUGAAGACAGUGUUUCAAAGAUAUGCCACAGAGAGGAUCCAGAGAGCCCAUCUUCAGUCAGUUAUCUGUAUUUGCAUGUCAACUACAGCAUCAAGAAGCAUAGGCAUGGAUACUAAGGACCCCCUCUGUACACCAAAGCCAGUCCAAAGGACAGUGUGUCACUGUGAACUGUAAAUUCAUCUCUCUUCUUCAUCUUUUUUCUACCUACUUUAUGCUUUAUCUCUAAGUUGAGGCUGUUUAUGGCCUCAUCCUCAAUUACCUUGUCCCUC
rnacentral:lncRNA from 1 species